GAAGGCAUUGAUGGCAGUGAUAUUUUCAUUUCAGAAUGGUUUUCAUCAGAUUGUUCUUGCUUGACUACUGUCUCAUCCCAUCCCCUCAAGGGAGUCAUCGCUGACAAUCCAUCAUCCUUUCCAAGAUCACGACCAAGAAUGGCUGAAAGCUCAUCAGAUAACCAGAAUAUCCACAGGUUAUGAGCUCUGAUGGAAAGAUCCCUGGUGGUUCUGGCUAGUUCUUCAAGUUUAGGGCUAGCAUGUUCACUUGCUCCAAGCAAAGCAGCUGUAGCACAUGAAGUCUGUUGUCUAGAGCCAGUGGGUGUUUGCCUGCCAGGACUCUCAGUAAUCAGAGAAUCUGUGGCAACUUGAGAUUGCCUCAAUACAGAUGGUAACUUGUCAAAAACUGCAGACACAGUAUCUUUUGACCAAAACCUUGGAGAACCAAGUAUCACAGGAAUAUGUUUUGUGUGGUUCUGAAAUGCAAACAAAAGUCUCCCAACAAAAAGAGAUCUCUCAACAACUAUAGCAGGAGGAACAGAUGGACUUCCCUCUCUGGAAUUUUCCAUGGCAUCAUUUAACUGAUCAAUGACCCUCUUGAGCUCUGCCAAAAUGGUUGACAUGAUAUCAUAACAUUUAUCUUGUAGGAAUGGACCCAAAUCUUUUAGCCUGUGUACUGCCUUUGGAGUUUCUAAGAAAUUGAGUAGGUCCUCCAGAACACUUUGACAACGGCUGUCCACUGCAUCUCUGAUUUGA
rnacentral:misc_RNA from 1 species